rnacentral:rRNA from 1 species
UACAGAGGGUGCAAGCGUUGUUCGGAAUUACUGGGCGUAAAGCGUGCGCAGGCGGCUUUGCAAGACAGAUGUGAAAUCCCCGGGCUUAACCUGGGAACUGCAUUUGUGACUGCAUGGCUAGAGUACGGCAGAGGGGGAUGGAAUUCCGCGUGUAGCAGUGAAAUGCGUAGAUAUGCGGAGGAACACCGAUGGCGAAGGCAGUCCCCUGGGCCUGUACUGACGCUCAUGCACGAAAGCGUAGGGAGCAAACAGG